rnacentral:sRNA from 1 species
GAUAGAGAUAGAGAUAGGAUGGAGGGAGACAGGGUGAGGGAGACAGAGAGACAGAGCGACAGAGAGAGAGGGAGGGAGGGUGAGGAGUAGGGAAUGUUGCUGCUGACGACUCGGUCACUAACUCAGAUCUCCUCCUUAACGCCAACGCCCACCGAGUCCAGUGUCUCGCUCUCCAAGCCCAUAGAAGGCAGCUUCGUCGACAUGAUCGAUAAAGCUUUGGAGAACGAGUUCAAAGAGAAUGAUUAGAACAAAGGAACUGUGGGAAACAAGUGUAUUCGGGGUUUUGACAUAUAGGUGGAUUUGACACAGUUCAUGCUCGGCUGGGUAUAAUUCCCACUUCUCUCUGCCUGCUUCCCCACUCCUUGCUCCAGUUGUGACUGGUUUUCCUUUUUGGUUCUAUCUUAGAAGUCUGUCAAGGAGAAGGCCAGGAGACCUGAAGAAAAUCCAUUGAAAAAGGAGUGAUGAAGCUAAAGCAGCAUUUGAAAGUUUGAGAGUGAUGGAUUUUCGAAUGAAAUGCACUUAACCCUGGAUUCCAGUGGGGGUGGCUGAAGCAGCUGCCGGAUAUGACAAAUGGCAGCUAAGUGGCAGCACAGAGCUUUCGCCGGAGGGAGAAAGGAUUUUGAUACGAGACAUUACUUGCUCACCCAAAGGUGAGAAUGUUAUGUGAGAAAGCCAAGGAAAUUCUAAUGGGAGAAAGCAAUGUUCAGGUUUCAAAGGUUUUGGGAAAGGAAUGCUUUUUAAUCUAGCCAAUUGGUGGUCUUAGCAAUACAAUGUCAAAUUUUUUUAAAUCCGAGUCUGACAAUUUUGGCAAGAUGCAAAUGAGCUGUGAUUGGGAAGGUAAUAUCAUCCUAAUAUAUUUUUCAAAGCAAUUUACUUAUUUGUAUUUUGCAGCUUUAUGUGUCCAAGAGGUUUCAAGUGUUAGUGAGGACCUCGAAAUGUAUGUAUUAAGGUUAAUCAGUAGUGGUACAAAAUAUAAACAUCACUUUGAGUGAUUAAUAUAAACUCUGUAUGUUUUCGUUUUGAAUGUUGAAGUUGGAAAUUGCUUUGGUUAGGAUACUAAUGAUUAGAAAAUAACUUUGUUUAAGGAAUGCACAAAUAGUCUAUGGGUGGAUUUUCAUGGAAAAGUUGACUAAAUUUCUUCUUUGUUGUUUCCAUAUGGUGCUUCAGUGGUGGGUUUUGAAAUUUUAGUUGUGGAUGUGAAAUUCACUUCUCAAAAGAUAGUUGCGAUAAUGCCUAUUUUUCUCUCAAAGCUCUUUUAGCCGAGUUGUCAGAAUCAAUGACUGAAGCUCUCCAUGACGAGUUGGACAUCGGCCUGAUACACUACUCUCAGUCUUUCCUGCUUUUAAUUUUGAUUGUUUAUGAUGAGUCGGACAUUGGCAAUUUGUUGUUGAAUUUUAUUUUGAUAAUUUCUGAAAAUUUUGUUUUAUUUUGUUGACAGCUUUUAUUGCCCACAAAUUUCAAAUAGAAAAGUUAGAAGAGCUACGGAUUUGCUUUCCACUGGUUCCCUGUAUUGAGUGCAAACGUGCUCCUAAUAUACUUGAAUUAAUUCUAAAGUCAGUAACUUUUCUGGGAUUGUUUGUGGUUUUGUGAGUGUUGCUUAGGUAAAACGUGGGUUGUCUAAAUUGCUGCAUUUAAGAAUGCGAUUGUAUUGCAACAGGAUUUUCAUUUAAUUUUUCUGUGGAUAUUUUCAUGUAUGUUGUUGGUUAUAGUUUGAAAACCCGCAGCAAAGCGCGGGCAUUCCUGCUAGU